GCCAAUGUGGUGUAGUGGUUUGAGUGUUAGACUAUUACUCUGGAGACCAGGGUUCAAAUCCCUGCUCAGCCA